UGGGGAAUAUUGGACAAUGGGCGCAAGCCUGAUCCAGCCAUGCCGCGUGGAUGAUGAAGGCCUUAGGGUUGUAAAGUCCUUUCAGCGGGGAAGAUAAUGACGGUACCCGCAGAAAAAGCCCCGGCUAACUUCGUGCCAGCAGCCGCGGUAAUACGAAGGGGGCUAGCGUUGCUCGGAAUUACUGGGCGUAAAGCGCACGUAGGCGGAUCCUUAAGUCGGUGGUGAAAUCCUGGAGCUCAACUCCAGAACUGCCUUCGAUACUGAGGACCUUGAGUUCGGGAGAGGUGAGUGGAACUGCGAGUGUAGAGGUGAAAUUCGUAGAUAUUCGCAAGAACACCAGUGGCGAAGGCGGCUCACUGGCCCGAUACUGACGCUGAGGUGCGAAAGCGUGGGGAGCAAACAGGAUUAGAUACCCCGGUAGUCC
rnacentral:rRNA from 1 species